UACGUAGGGUGCGAGCGUUAAUCGGAAUUACUGGGCGUAAAGCGUGCGCAGGCGGUUCGUUAAGUUCGUCGUGAAAGCCCCGGGCUCAACCUGGGAAUGGCGAUGGAAACUGGCGGGCUGGAGUGUGGCAGAGGGGGGUGGAAUUCCGCGUGUAGCAGUGAAAUGCGUAGAGAUGCGGAGGAACACCGAUGGCGAAGGCAGCCCCCUGGGCCAACACUGACGCUGAGGAGCGAAAGCCAGGGGAGCAAACGGG
rnacentral:rRNA from 1 species